rnacentral:rRNA from 1 species
GAUGAACGCUGGCGGCGUGCCUAAUACAUGCAAGUCGAGCGAACGGACGAGAAGCUUGCUUCUCUGAUGUUAUCGGCGGACGGGUGAGUAACACGUGUAUAACCUACCUAUAAUACUGGGAUAACUUCGGGAAACCGUAGCUAAUACCGGAUAAUAUUUUGAACCGCAUGGUUCAAUAGUGAAAUACGUUCUUUCUGUCUCUUAUAGAUGGUUCCGCGUUUCAUUAGCUAGUUGUUAAGGUAACGGCUUACCAAGGCAACGAUGCAUAUCCGACCUGAGAGGGUGAUCGGCCACACUGGAACUGAGACACGGACAAGACACCUACGGGAGGCAGCAGAAGGGAAUCUGACGCAAUGGGCGAAAGCAUGACGGAGCAACGCCGCGUGAGAGAUGAAGGUCUUCGGAUCGUAAAACUCUGUUAUUAGGGAAGAACAUAUGUGUAAGGAAAUGUGCACAUAGUGACGGUACCUAAUAAGAAAGCAACGGCUAACUACGUG